AGCAGCCGCGGUAAUACGGAGGGUGCAAGCGUUAAUCGGAAUUACUGGGCGUAAAGCGCACGCAGGCGGUCUGACAAGUCAGAUGUGAAAUCCCCGGGCUUAACCUGGGAACUGCAUUUGAAACUGUCAGGCUGGAGUCUUGUAGAGGGGGGUGGAAUUCCAGGUGUAGCGGUGAAAUGCGUAGAGAUCUGGAGGAAUACCGGUGGCGAAGGCGGCCCCCUGGACAAAGACUGACGCUCAGGUGCGAAAGCGUGGGGAGCAAACAGGAUUAGAUACCCGCGUAGUCCCUGUUCUCUUAUAC
rnacentral:rRNA from 1 species